rnacentral:rRNA from 1 species
CAAGUCGAACGGCAGCGCGGGGGCUUCGGUCUCUGGCGGCGAGUGGCGGACGGGUGAGUAAUAUAUGGGAACGCGCCCGGCGGCGGGGGAUAACUCUGGGAAACCAGAGCUAAUACCGCAUGCGUUUCGCCUUUCGGGGCGAAAGAAAGCGGGGGACUUCUUCGGAGGCCUCGCACCGGCGGAGCGGCCCAUAUCCGAUUAGCUUGUUGGCGGGGUAACAGCCCACCAAGGCCGCGAUCGGUAGCUGGUCUGAGAGGACGGACAGCCACACCGGGACUGAGACACGGCCCGGACCCCUACGGGAGGCAGCAGUGGGGAAUAUUGGACAAUGGGGGCAACCCUGAUCCAGCAAUGCCGCGUGUGUGAAGAAGGCCUUCGGGUUGUAAAGCACUUUCGCGGGGGAAGAAAAAGCGAGGGGUAAUAUCUCUCGCGCCUGACGGUACCCCGAGAAGAAGCACCGGCUAACUACGUGCCAGCAGCCGCGGUAAUACGUAGGGUGCGAGCGUUAAUCGGAAUUACUGGGCGUAAAGCGUGCGCAGGCGGCCUGUCAAGUCGGGUGUGAAAUCCCCGGGCUCAACCCGGGAAUUGCGCUUGAAACCGGCGGGCUAGAGUACGGCAGAGGAAGGUGGAAUUCCGUGUGUAGCGGUGAAAUGCGUAGAUAUACGGAAGAACACUCAUGGCGAAGGCAUCCUUCUGGGCCGUAACUGACGCUCAUGCACG